ACAAUUAUAAAUACAAUAAUCUCGUUAUAGAGGUAUUUAAAACGAAAAAAAGGAUCUAUUAGCUAAAUCAGAUGUAUCAAGGUAUCUAUCAGAGAAUUGUGAAACCAGAGAUGAUUAUUUUGAUACUCUCGGACGGUGGAAGGUUAAUUCUCCCAAGUAUGCAGUUCUCUCCCAAAAAGCCAGAGAUGUAUUGGCUGUUCCAAUUUCUACAGUUUCUUUUGAGUCAGCAUUUAACAUGGAUAAUCAUAUGCUUGAUCCAUUUAAAAGUUCACUACCACCUCUGAUGCUAGAGUCUCUUAUUUGUGGUCGGAAUUGGCUGAGGCCCGCAUCAACUCCAAUUUAUCUCCGAGAAACUAUGGAUGAACUAGAAAAAUAUGAGGAAGUUGAAUUAGAAUUCUCCGGAUCAGGUUCAGCCCUAACUACAAAAUUAUCUUUCUUCGAUGUUUAAUUCUUUGAGUUGCUGGGAGAUGGUGAAGUUGGCUGAAGAAGUACUAACUCUGAGUCUGCACUGGAUUUGGGAUUUUGUUCUCUGAAUUUGUUAUUCCAUGUAUAAAAAGACAUGUUUUGCCUAUGCUAAAGUCGUGGAAUUAGCAUUUAUGUAAUUUUGUUUUGUGCUCAAGUUACAUUGGAUAUCAAGGACAUGUAGCACAGAGAAAGUAACAUUGCUUUGUUAAAUUCUUGAAGCUUUAUGGAUUGAACAUGAUAUUUGAAGUUA